rnacentral:rRNA from 1 species
UACAGAGGGGGCAAGCGUUGUUCGGAAUUACUGGGCGUAAAGGGCGCGUAGGCGGCACGGCAAGUCAGGAGUGAAAGCCCUGGGCUCAACCCGGGAACUGCUUUUGAAACUGCCGAGCUAGAGUGCGGAAGGGGCAACUGGAAUUCCCAGUGUAGCGGUGAAAUGCGUAGAUAUUGGGAAGAACACCUGAGGCGAAGGCGGGUUGCUGGGCCGACACUGACGCUGAUGCGCGAAAGCCAGGGGAGCGAACGGG